CAGGAAGUCCGUCCUUCCAGCCGUUGUUUUCGCCGUAAUAUCAACUUUUGACAGAGAAAAGUCAGAGUCUUUCAGGAGUAUUUGGCACCUGGACACAAGGAGGAAGAUGCACAAGCGUAGAACACUUGCUUCCGAGAAAGGCGAGCGAAAACUCUCCAAUACCCAGACACUGCUGGUGAUUGUAGCUUCUCCCUUUAACAGAUCAUCUGCCUCCAUCUUGCCCUAUCCUGUGUCCUCAAAAUGAUGACAACAACAAUCAUAGUAAUACAUCUAAUUUGUAGCACAUUAUUUAAACACACAAUUCUUCACAAUUAAAAAAAACAACAACUCUGUAGCACAAGGAUCUGGAUCUGUGCAAACGUAAUCUUCAUGGAUCCUCAGCGGGAGCGGGUGCUGCUGCUGUUGACCCACGGCUGCCAGCUGUGCAGCAUCGUUGGCAUUUUGCUGGCAGUGAUGUCUGAGUCGUUCUGCCCAUAGCAGCACAAGAUACAGAGUGGGAUAUUCGGCCCCCUCCAGACGUAGCUGACGCUGGAGCCAGGUCAAACCAACCAAUAGAAACUCUUCUCUCAUCCACCAGCGUAGGCCCCGUCCCCAUCAAGUGCCGUUGAAUUUGCAAGCAAAACUUUAUAACUCGCAAGCAAAGAGGACAGAUUUGCAAGCAAAAUGGUCAUGUUUUUACUUACAAACAUUAGUUUUGAUUGAAGUUGAAGAAAUAUGUUCUCUCAUAUUUCUUUUUCAAUUUUUCAAAUAAUAAAGGAACAGAAUUCUCUCCAUACAAGCUCCACCCACAUCCAAACUGCCUUGACUGAGGAACAGAGAAGAACUCUUUUGUAAGUAAAUACUCCUUGAAAGAUUCAUUUUCAU